CAUGCAAGUCGAGGGGUUCAGGGGGCUUGCUCCGCUGACGACGGGUAAACGGUGGCAACCCGCCCUUUAAAACUACCUUACUCUGGGGAAUUUGCUUUGGACCUUAUAUUCCCUUCUCAUAGCAUCUUUUUUUGCCAUCAUUUGGGAUUAAAUGUUACGGUGUUGUAUGACAAUGCGUCCUAUUAGCUUGAUGGUAUCUAAACGGCUUACCAUGGGAACGAUAGGUAGGGGCCCUGAUAGGGCGAUCCCCCCUCCUGGUACUGACACACGGACCAGACUCCUACGGGAGGCAGCAACCCUGAUAUUGGACAAUGGAGGAAACUCUGAUGCCUUAAUGCCGCGUGACUCAUUAACGCCUUUGGAUUGUGACGCUCUUUCGUCGGGAAAAAACAUGACUGUCCCCGAAUAAAACCGUCCGGCUAACUUCGUGCCAGCAGCCGCGGUAAACGAAGGGACCUAGCGUAGUUCGGAUUUACUUUGUAUUUUGGAGUUCGUAGGUGGUUGAAAAAGUUAUGGACCUGCUCUCAGAGCUACAUUUCUGUGAACUGCCACAGAAGAGAUUCAACUAGAGUAUGUUAGAGUGAAAUUCAAUUACUAGUGUAGGGGUGAAAUUCGUAAAUGUUACACACAGUACCAAUUGCGAAGGCGGC
rnacentral:rRNA from 1 species